GCCGGUGUCGCGUAGUUGGUCAUCGCGGUGGUCUUAAGUUCAUUUUUGUCCUUGAAAUCCACUUGACAAGUUCAGGCCUGGGUUCGAAUCCCAGUACCGGCA